rnacentral:rRNA from 1 species
UACGAAGGGGGCUAGCGUUGCUCGGAUUGACUGGGCGUAAAGGGCGCGUAGGCGGUUCGUACAGUCAGACGUGAAAUUCCUGGGCUCAACCUGGGGGCUGCGUUUGAUACGUGCGGACUUGAGUGCGGAAGAGGGUCGUGGAAUUCCCAGUGUAGAGGUGAAAUUCGUAGAUAUUGGGAAGAACACCGGUGGCGAAGGCGACUCACUGGCCCGAUACUGACGCUGAGGCGCGAAAGCGUGGGGAGCAAACAGG